rnacentral:lncRNA from 1 species
UUUUACAUAUCCUCACCGGCACCAGAUGAUUGAUCUGGUUUCUCUGUGUUUUUGCCAUAUUCAGUCAUCAGUUUUUAUUUUAGUCAUUCUGACAGGUGUGCAGUGACAUCUUAUUGUGGUUGCAGUUUGUGUUUCUGUGAUGGCUAAUUGUGCUGAACAUUGUUUCACGUGCUUGUUUUGCUGUCUGUCUGCAUGUCCUCUUGGUCAUGUGUCCUGUUUUGUUUCUCUGGAUGAGGAAAUUCUUUCUAGUCCUAGUUUUCUGAGGGCUUUUGUCAUGAAUAAGUGUUAGAUUUUUCCAAAGCUUUUCUGUAUCUGUAGAGAUACUGUAACAAUUUUUUCCUUUAUCUAUUAAUAUGGUACGGUAUUUUGAUUUCAUAUUAGUCACGCCAACCUUGUGUUACUGGCAUAAACCUCAUGGAGUCAUGCUGAGUAUCUUUCAUAUGUCACAGUGUUAGAUUUGCUGAUAUUUUGUUCAGGACGUUUGGUGCUCAUAUUCAUGAAAUAGAUGGAUCUGUAUUGGCUUUUUUAUUGUCUUUAGUUUGAUGUCUAGAGCCACAGCAUGUUCCGAAGAGAUGAUUGGAAGAUGGAAGUGGAGGGUUAAAUAAUGAAAUGCAGCUAACAUUUCGGAAAGUUUCUAAAAGUUGUACAACAUGCCCUACAGCUACUCUUUAAAUCUCCAAAUCAAAUGAGUUUCAGGUGGAGCCUCUGGGAGGUGAUGAGGUCAUGAGAGUGGAGCCUCAUGAAUGGGAUGAGCACUCCUACAAAAAGGAUUCCAGAGAGCUCGCUUGCUCCUUCCACAGUGUGAGGACACAGAGGGAAGGCUCUGUCUAUGAAUGAGAAAGUGGGUCCCCACCAGACAUUGAAUCUGCCGCAUCUUGAUACUGGACUUCCAGUCUCCAGAACUGUGGGCAAUAAAUGUCUGUUGUUUAUUACCUGUCCAGUAUCUUUGGUAUUUUGCUAUAGCAACCCAAAUGGACUAAGAAAACACCAGAGGCCAUACCUAAUAAAAAUAUUGACAUCACA